rnacentral:pre_miRNA from 1 species
AGCUUUUAGAAUCCGUGCUGAGAUUUCGUCAGACACCAACCCAUCAGAGCUGAUCAAACUUCCAAGAUAAGUGAAGUU